GUGUGCAAGGUGACUUGCACAUGGCAUGAGGAGGGCUUGGUCCGCUACUCUACCAUUGUGCAUGCCACUGAAAGGUGCAUUGUGUGCAGUUGGGGUGUGCACUGGCCCGCCUGCUCCCUCCUUCUGGAUUUCCGUUCCUCAGUAUUGGCUAUUAACUUAGCCCUGGGGGCGCCAUAGGGCAGUGUGUUGCCUAAACAGUGUGCAUUUUCCUGGGGCAUGGGGCCCAGAUCGUUUACCGUGAAAAAAUUAGAGUGUUCAAAGCAGGCAGAUAUUUUAUACUGCCACCGAAUACAUUAGCAUGGGAUAAUGGAAUAGGACCCUGUCCUUUAUGUUUUGUGUUGGUUGGAGGACCAGGGUAAUGAUUAAUAGAGAUAGUUGGGGGCAUUAAUAUUUAAUUGUCAGAGGUGAAAUUCUUGGAUUUAUGAAAGAUUAACUUCUGCGAAAGCAUCUGCCAAGGAUGUUUUCAUUAAUCAAGAACGAAAGUUAGGGGAUCGAAGACGAUUAGAUACCGUCGUAGUCUUAACCAUAAACCAUGCCGACCAGCGAUUGGGAGACGUUUCACACGGGGGUGGCCCCAUGGGGAGAGUGCGUGGGGGUGGCCGCUUCAUGCGGUGGCCUCCUCGCCUUUCCCUUUGGGGGGCUGCUCCCACUAAAGGAUGACUCCCCCAGCAGCUUGUGAGAAAUCAUCAAGUCUUUGGGUUCCGGGGGGAGUAUGGUCGCAAGGCUGAAACUUAAAGGAAUUGACGGAAGGGCACCACCA
rnacentral:rRNA from 1 species